rnacentral:rRNA from 1 species
CGUAGGUGGCAAGCGUUGUCCGGAUUUAUUGGGUUUAAAGGGUGCGUAGGCGGCCCUGUAAGUCAGUGCUGAAAUAUCCCGGCUUAACCGGGAGGGUGGCAUUGAUACUGCAGGGCUUGAGUAAAGUUGAGGUUGGCGGAAUUGACGGUGUAGCGGUGAAAUGCUUAGAUAUCGUCAAGAACACCGAUAGUGAAGACAGCUAACUAAGCUUUAACUGACGCUGAGGCACGAAAGUGUGGGGAUCAAACAGGAUUAGAUACCCUGGUAGUCCACACUGUAAACGUUGAUUACUCGAUGUUGGCGAUACACAGUCAGCGUCUUAGCGCAAGCGAUAAGUAAUCCACCUGGGGAGUACGCCGGCGACGGUG